UCUACAUGCCCCCCACACCCCUGCAAGCCC
rnacentral:piRNA from 1 species